GCGGCAGGCCUAAUACAUGCAAGUCGAACGGUGUCUUCGGACAUAGUGGCGCACGGGUGCGUAACACGUAUGCAACCUACCUUACAUUGGGGGAUAGCCUUUCGAAAGGGAGAUUAAUACCGCAUAAGACAGUAGCUGGGCAUCCAGCAGCUGUUAAAGAUUUAUCGAUGUAAGCUGGGCAUGCGUCCAAUUAGCUAGUUGGUGAGGUAAUGGCUCACCAAGGCUAUGAUUGGUAGGGGAACUGAGAGGUCAAUCCCCCACACUGGCACUGAGAUACGGGCCAGACUCCUACGGGAGGCAGCAGUAGGGAAUAUUGGGCAAUGGACGCAAGUCUGACCCAGCCAUGCCGCGUGCAGGAUGAAGGCGUUAUGCGUUGUAAACUGCUUUUAUACAGGAAGAAACGACUCUUGCGAGAGGCAUUGACGGUACUGUAUGAAUAAGCACCGGCUAACUCCGUGCCAGCAGCCGCGGUAAUACGGAGGGUGCAAGCGUUGUCCGGAUUUAUUGGGUUUAAAGGGUGCGCAGGUGGUUUAUUAAGUCAGUGGUGAAAGACGGUCGCUCAACGAUUGCAGUGCCAUUGAAACUGGUAGACUUGAGUAAAGUAGAGGUGGGCGGAAUUGAUAGUGUAGCGGUGAAAUGCAUAGAUAUUAUCAAGAACUCCAAUUGCGUAGGCAGCUCACUUGGCUUUUACUGACACUCAUGCACGAAAGUGUGGGUAUCAAACAGGAUUAGAUACCCUGGUAGUCCACACUGUAAACGAUGAUAACUAGGUGUCGGCCGAAUCUGGUCG
rnacentral:rRNA from 1 species